GGGCCGUUAGCUCAGCCGGUAGAGCAGCGGACUUUUAAUCCGUUGGUCGACAGUUCAAAUCUGUCACGGCCCA
rfam:Gammaproteobacteria bacterium RIFCSPHIGHO2_12_FTLL_38_11 rifcsphigho2_12_scaffold_14763, whole genome shotgun sequence.